GCAAGGGCGGGGCGUGAGGCACAUCGGGCUUAGGGAGGGCGUAGCCCCGGCCGAUGUCAGUUUGUCCCUCAUACGUUCCUAAACCAUUCAUCCGAUUGAGAUGAAACUUUGCACACUUGACCUUUGAAACAUGAGGAAGAUCACUAUCUAGGUGCAAUUUCAAUGAAGUUAACCCUUAAGCAGAAUUUAAUUAUACUUGAUGAUAUUUUUCCAUUUAAUUUUUAUGCAUCGUUCAUCCGAUCUAUAUGAAAUUUUGAAUACUUGACCUUAGAAACAUGAGGAUGUUUACUGUCUAGGUGAGAUAAUGUACAAUGUGUGGCGUGCUAGUCAUAUCCACGGAGGUAUUAGUCUAUGGAAUGGUGUCUGUUCUGAAAUUGAAGUCAAAUGGUUAGCAAUUGGAUAGCAAAACUAAUUGUAACCGUAUAAAGGAAAAUAUAUCUAUAGAUAUAAUAUAUAAAUAAAUGUUUGUCCCUUAUGCGUUUAUAUACCAAUAUAUCAUAAAAUCUGAUUGCAAUGAAACUUGGUGAGUUGUUAGUUGUUAUGAGAAUGCCCGCAAAGGUUAUUAAGUUAGUGCAAGCAUUUUACAAUAGGUGGUGUCUGAAUCGUUUCAACAAAUUUGUGUACAUAUUUCAUAUAGUUAGUGGCAGUUCAUGUAUUUUUGUUGUAUGAGUGCGCACUCAUGACAGAAUUGAAUUAAAUAUAAAAGAGUGAUUGAGAAGAUAGUGAUAGAGGGGGAUAGAGGGAGAUAGAGAACUAGAGCAGCAUAGAGAUUGAGAUAGAGAUAUAUAGAUGUAUAGAGAUACAUAUAUAUAUAUAGAUAGAGGUAUAAGUAUAUCAAGAAAAAUAGUUGGAGAUAGAGAGAUAAGGGAUAGGAUGAAGAGAGAUAGAGCUAGGAUAAAGAAAGAUAGAGAGGUAGGAUAGAGAGAUAGAGGGAGAGAGAGAUAUAGAUGUGUAUAUACAUGUAGAUAGAGCAGCAUAGAUGUACAGAGAUAUACAUAUAUAAUUAGAGAUGUAUAGAGUUAGAGAGAUAUAGAGAGAUACUUUGUGUUGAGGGCUAUCUUCUCGACUGCUUCACGGGGAAAGAUGUUUAGAUGGGCGCCACCACGUGAAAUGGGCACGUGGACCCCGGCCGAUACUCUCUCUCAGGGCGUGAUGUGACCCAUGUGGGACGAGUUACCAGCCCUAUUGAUUCGCUUAUGUCGAUCUACACCAAACCUGGCCCGCUCUAGGCGUCGGGCACACCACACUUGUACAAAGGUUGGAUUCUCAUUACGUAAAAUAUAACUCACGACUCGGUUAAAAUUUAGGUUUAAUAACAUAAAUCACGCCUCCCUACACGUUCUCCAUUAAAACAGUAAAAGGCCUGGGCACGGAUCAGCUUAGGUAAAGCAUGGGCCAACCAUGUGGCCAUGCGCUAUGAGUCUCCUGUGAACUGCGACAAAGAAGCUUGUAACGAGUUAUAUAAAUAUUUAAUUAAACGUCCCACCGACCGAGUGUGGCCCCGAGGGCUAGAGAUUGAAAUUAUUUAGGAACAAAUUAUAAAACAGAAAAUACUUGAUCAGAUGCACAAAGAUUGCGGCCCCCGGGGUGCCGACGUGUCUACUCUCGAUGGCUGUUGAAGAGGAACUGGCUACACUACCCUCGCAAUGGCGCACUUCCACCGUACAAAAACCGUUACGUUAGUUAAUGAUCCCGUGCCCCGGCUAAAGUGAACAUAAUUACAAACACAUUUAAUUACAAAACACAGUACUCUUAAUUAAAAACCAUUAACACUUCUGUAAUUAUUUAACGUGAGACUUAAAAGAAUCACAACUGAGGUCAAGUUCCGGUCCGUGCGGAUUCGUCCGCGCAACGUCUGUAAAACUAGAAUAUAUUUUUAAAUUAAGUAAAAGAGCACGUUGGCUUGAACAUAAAACCACUGGGGCUAAAAAUAAAACGUUACAAUAAUUAAUUAGGUACAUAAUUAGGGGCCGUCGCACUGCUUCUACAGCGCCCUCAUGAGGGAGGUCCUGGCGCGCAAUUCAAAACGAACACAUGUUCGCGGUGAAAUGCGGGAGGGAAAAGUGAGGAAGGGAGCGGAGCCUGUCCAGGCUCAGGGCGAAGCCCCGGCAGACGUCAGUGUAUGUGUACCUACUUCAAAUAAAUUAUAAUAAAAAAUUGAAUGAGGUAUGGUAGUGCAUGCCAGCAUAUAUAUAUAUAUUUAGUACUCCACAGAAAAUAUAUAUAAAGAAAAUAAGCAGUAUAUUCAUAAACUAAGUAAAAAAAAUUGGGAACAAGUAAACUGUAAAUCACAACUAACAUUUUGUAAAUAUUCACAACUGGGAAAGAAUAAUUGAAAGAGUGGUAUUUGUGAUGCAGAAUUUAUUAGCAAAAUCUGACUUCUUUCCUGUCUGGGGUUUAUAGCAUGCAAAAUUUCUAGUUUUGUGGCAAGAGAAAUUGCUUUUUUUAAUUAAAGUGAAUUAUCAUCAUAAAUUUAAUGUGCAAUGGUUUGUUCAACCAUACUUAGCUAAUUUAUCAGUAAAUUAAUUUAAUCCAUCACAAUUUUCCUUUAAAUGAGAAAACACAUGCAGUUAAGUUUGUUUUGACAAAUUUACGAAACAACACUCAUAAAUGCCCACAGAUUUAAUUUUCGUAGCACUUUCAUGAAAACUAUAACAGCAUUCAUACAUGGCAAUGAUAAGACAUUUUCACAGAACUCCGAUGUACAAUUGUGUAAGUGAAUGUAACAUGGCAGUGAUCACAUAUUUUCACAGAACCCAGGCGUACAUUUUUGUGAGUGUAGAGGGAGACAAAUUUUAUAUAUGAUGAUUAGAACAAAGUUAGUAGCUUGACCAACCAAAGUGUUUUUUUUUGUUCAUCUUUGGUACACUUGUAUCAAAGUGUGUCCAAGUGUGUACAUCGUUCUCAGGUCAUUUGUAAAAUGGCAGUAGUAUUGUUUAUUUGUCAGAACCGUAAUAUACUUAUGAAGCAAAUAGAAAAUUAUUACAAUUCUACAGAAAGCAUCUGAAAAAUAUUUAUUUUCUUUCGUAGUAGCAAGAUUUUUGGCGGGACAGGUAAAAAAUACUUUGUUCUUUUGGGUUACAAAUACAUAGGGUUAUAUGGCGUUUUAAUGGGACCUAAUAGCUGCUUUGUCGUACCACAUUACCCAAAAUGGAAUUAUAUAAUUUUUAAAUAGCAUAUUUUAUUAGCAUUACUUUGUUUCUUCUUACUCUAUACUACAGUAAGUCCUCGGUUUAGGUCGGGGUUACGUUCCUGAAAACCGCGACGUAAAUAGAAACGACGCAAAAUGAGCCAUGUUUCAUGCCACCGGCCGGCCACGGCCCAAGGUCGGCCGGAAGCGCUGGCAUACAGACGUGACAACGGGCAAUUUUAUCAGCAAAUGACAACCGACAGCGUGGGAAACAAGUCCAACUAGUACUUCUCAGCUUUAUAGAAUGGUUAUUUAACCAGCUGCUUUAUUACCUUUAUUGAUUGAAAUAUACAAACAGAUAUAUAGUAUAUACUGUACGUAAGAGCAGGAAGCGUCCCUCAUGAUGUAUAAUAAGAUAAGGCGGUGAACGUGUAGCUUACGCUACAUAGCAUAAAUUAACUACCGAAGGAAACAAAGAAUUAUAAACAAUUUAUAUACGGUGUUUUGGUUAAAGUAAAGAUUUACGGUCAUUGUAAAUGACGUUAUUUUGAAUCGGCGACAACUUAAAUUGAAACAUGAGUACUCAAACAUUAGCGACGUUAAUCCGAAACGACGUAAAUCGGUACGACGUAAAUAGAGGACUUACUGUAUAUCUAAAUCAAUAAGGGCAACCUAACCUACAAUGACUGCAACACUUGACAUUUGCAAACAUAACUUCAUCUCUUCAGUUACUCAUCAAAAAUAAUUUUUCUGUGGGCUUUAUUAUUUCUAGCCCUAAUUUUAUCUUACUGCAUUCAUAAGUUGAUGGUAUGAUCACUUAACUGUAAUAUUUUGACGUAUUACUUUUACAUAAAACCUAAAAAAAAGUUAAUUUGAUUGUCUCUUAUUAGAACAUUAGCUACAUUUGCAGUAUAUGAAUGGUAAAGACCAUGGGCUACUAUGUCUAAUUGGUUGCUUCACUUCACUGUGAGCCUACAGAACAAAGUUCACAAUUACUUGCCUCGUGUAGCAAUAAUUUAUUUCUAAAAGUUAAAAAUGUUAUUAGUUUAUGCACUUUUAUCUUUUGUACUUGUUUCUCAUUUUAAAUAAAAAAAUGAUUUUUAGUAUUAACCAGGUUGUUUUGUUUUUCCUAUGACAGUGUCAAUUUUCACAAAUUUGGAUGGCAGCAAAUGAUUCUUGAGACAAUAGCAAAUUAUUUUGCUAGAUGAAUGUGUAGUACAUAUCUUAAAAAGGAUAAAUUGUUAACCUCCAUGAAUGGAUGCAAUUCAUUUUACAAUAGAGGUGACCCUCUCCCCAGCCCAGACCCAGCGCAACGAGGAGCAGAUAUCGUUCCUGACGGAGAAGAUAAACAAGCUGGUGGCGGAGGCGGAACAGAUGGGCACCCAGGGGCAGGUGGAGCAGGCACAGGGCCUUAUGAAGCUCUGCGAUCAGUUGAAGGAUGAGCGCGAGCAGCUGAGAGGCAGCAAUGACAACAGUCACUGGCAGCAGACGGCCGAGUUGGCAGCAGCUCAGGAAAAACAGAUGGAGGUGUGCGAAGUGUGUGGGGCGUUCCUCAUAGUCGGAGAUGCACAACAACGAAUCGAUGACCACCUAAUGGGGAAACAGCAUGUCGGGUAUGCCCGAUUGAAGGCAGCACUGGAUGAGAUUACGCAAAAUCGUUUGAAAACAAGGGAAGAGAAAGAACGGAAACGUGAUGAAGAGCGCAGGGAAAGGAUGCGGCACAGGGAUAAUGAUGAUCACAGAAGAAACAGGGACCGAGAUCGUGACCGUGAUCAUAGGGAAAGAGACAGAGUGAAGGAUGAUCGCAAGAGGAAACAGGAAGAAGAGAGGCCUCGAACAAAAUCAAAACCAAGAUCCAGGAGCCCGAGACCUCAUCAUCGUCGCAGCUCUAGUCGCAGUCGAAGCCAUUCUCGUCGCCCGAGCAAGGAUAAAGACCAUUCAGCAAAGAGUAGUCGUGGAAAUGAUAUUCACAGGAGUCGAUCAAAGGAUCGUGACAGCCAUAAACGAAGUGAAGAUCAUGAUAGGGAUCGCCGGAAAUCUGAGAAAUCAAAGGCUCAAGACGGAGACCACCGCCGCAAGAGCUCUGGCCAUCACCACGACUCGAGGUCCAGCCGGGGUGGGAGCGGCUUUUAGCCGCUUCAGUCUGAAUCAGUGAGUGGAAGUGGCUGACAGUUUGGAAAUGUGUGUGUGAUGGCCGGGUAUCAAGAUGACCAACGAAAUUGUCUUCUGGGUGCUCUUUCGCACAUUCGAGAUUCCUGUGUCAUGUGGAUAACUUCGUGAAGGCAGUUUGGUAGUGCUUUCGCAUUCUGCAAAUUAAACCAUCAUUCUUUGACAAGCUUCAAAUUUGGAGCUCAUUAGACCGAAGUCAUCGGGAGUUCUGCCUUAAUAAAAGGUAUGUGGGACUAGUGUUACCUUUAUUCGAAUUGCAAAAAGGUUUAUGAUGUUUGUGUACUUGAUUGCCAUUUGGAGGCACUGAAUAAUGUUGGUAUCUGGUGGGCCAUUAUACUGCGUAAUGUAUAAUUAUUAAUUAACAAUGUUUAGUCGAGAGAACAAGUCCAUUUUUGCUGGAAGAAUAUUUUCGAGCAGGUACUAGUCGCUCCAGAUUGAACUCUAAUUCUACAAUUUGUGUGAGAUAAUUAAACAAUAUCACACAAGCUUCUUCGCAAAAACCUUUUUAUUGUAUCCACACAAACGUAGCAUUAAUUAUGAAAUUAUAAUAUUUUUAUACCUUUUGGUGGAAACUAAAUCGGGCAUUGUUCCAAAGUGUUAUAAUUCUACUUUGUUUAAUGUGACUUGAGAACUACUGAAGAAAUUAAAAACAAAGUUGUUAACUUUAAAACUUUUUUUUAAUAUGUAAAGUACAGUACCCAACAUGUCUUGGUCAGUUAGGAGAGAAAAUUUUAACUUGAGCUGCUUCGACAAUACCUGUUUAAUUGCCUUUUUUUAAUUUAUACAUUCACUUGUGGUCUUUAAAACAUUUAAAUCUGUAUACUAAAACUUGGUUAAUGCAACUAGUUGAUAUACUGGCUAUUAUGUAUUCAUAAAGGAAAAUAAUUGGGAAACAGUUCAAUAAAAGUGUUCUUUCAAUGACUGAGUGCAUUACAUUGUUUAGUUACUAGAGUUUGGAUGAUAGUAUUAUUUUGAUACUUGGUACUUGAUACUUCAGAUGCAUUAAAUAAAUUAUUAUAUACUAUGUGAUUAAAAUUUUAUAGUUUUGUAUGUCUGUCACAAUUUUUUUAAUAAUUGGGUACAUAUUAUUUACACAAAAAUGUAAUGUGUAUUAAAAAUAACACUGAACAAAAUAUUUUUUUGACAAAAGAUAUCUACACCGGUACACCGUGGCGAUGAAGACGAUCAGAUAAAAAUAAUAACGUUUAAAAAUGUCUUUAAAAGAAAAUUUACACGUCAGACAACUUCGUAUUUCCGUUUAUUAAAUAAGUAAGUGGUAAUUUCCAAAUAAAUAUUAGAUUUCUACUUUAAAAUACAUCAUUUUAUAUGGAAAAGAUACCUACACAAAGCGCUCGGCAUCUAAUAGCGGGACCAAAAACAUCAUUCGACAUUUAAGCAAGAAGUUUUUUUUAUCCCAAUAAUGAUGGCCAAAAAUAUAGGUGCGACGAUUACGCGCGUGCGACAAUUAUGCGAUAAAAGAAGGUACUUGUAUCUCGGAUAUUUAUAGCUUCAGUUCAAGGGCUUUCAAAUUUUGAGAUGUCAGGCAAUUCGUGAGUGUAAUGACAAGUAAAGGAUGGCCAAGGAGUGAUGGAAAGAUAACGAAGCGUGGCCAAUGUUUUGGGAUGUUUAUGAUACAAAAUAUAAAGACAGUUGCAAGAAGCAUGAUUUUUUUGAAAGAAAUAAGCUAAGAAAUAUGACACAACUAUGAGAAAAAAAAAAGUUAAAAAUAAAACACAACCUGUGAGAUCAGUUCAAAAUCGAGAAGAAAAGGUCAGGACAAGAAAAUAGUAAUAAUCAUAUAAAAAUUCAGGAAUAUUUUUGAAUGGAUGCAAAAAUUUGAGAAUACAAUCUUUUUCAAAGACAUUUCCAAAAUAUUUAACUUGCAUUAAAACUCAUUUCCCACUGUUAAAUAGUGUUAAGUAAUUGUUCUUGAAUUCACCAGACACAAUUUAUCCGGCUGUCUGUGGUAGCGGUUGAAUGUAUUUUCUUUAUAAUUUUGUUUACUUUACUAAGUUAACAUAAACAAAAUUAUAAGGAUGUAAGUGUACUCACAACUGUUUUUUAAAAUGGGGUAUAAAUAUCCUUAUCCACAAGAACAUAAUUAAUUUUUACCGUGCAUUAUCAAAACAUAACACAUGUAGAAAAUAUAUUUCUAUUAUUUACUGUCAACCUAGCUGAAAAUGGUUCAUGAGACACGUGAAAUGAAAACAAACGAACAGCAAGUGACGAAUAAAUUCGGACAAUUACAGCACUGCUUGACAUGCUGAGCAUCCAUAUAAACCUAAAUUUAGAGUGCAAAACAAAUGGUCAUUAUGCUCAGAAUGCAUUCAGGCAUGUAAUAGGUUAAGAUUUAUGAUAUAAAACAAAGAUUUUUUGUGUUGAUUAAGUGCUUUUAAGCGGGGAAAAUCCAAUAACCCCAAAAAGGAAUAAAUGAAGGAUGUUAAGGUUAAUGGAAUGGGAGACUUUUAGGCAGGAAAAUGUCUUAAAAACGGGUUUUAGUGUAUAUAUUUCCACUUUAAUGUGGGUCAGGUCUAAACACUGCCUGAUACUUUUCUUAGACACGUAAUAUUUAUUUCAUGACACGUGUCCCGUGGAUGUACCUUAAGUGAAUAUCUUUUGAAAAUAUUUUGUUGCAGAACAUCAAAUGCAAGUGAGGUAUUAAGUUAAAAUUUCAGAAAUAAUCCUUAAAUAAAAGUAACAAUGAAGAAAUGAAAAAAAAAAUUCAACAUUGCAUGUGAGAACAAGCAUUAAGAGAUUUUUCCCCCAUCACACUGUAAAAGAGAAGUGCAUGAAACUGAAAAGCGCAUAAGUUGCUAUACUAAAGAAAAAAAGAGAAGCUGACACACACCAGAGUAAAACUUUCUUUACUGAAAUUCAUGCCUCGUUUUAUUGCUGUAACAAUAAACGUAUGCAUAUUGUUCACAGUGUAUGAAAUACAACAAAGUUUUUAUAGGAAGAAGUAUGUUGAUUUCAUAGUAUUGAAAUGUAAUCAAGAGGAAAAGCAAUAAAAUGUGUUAAAAUGUUACAAAAUACAUUCGUAACAUGCCCCUUCUACAGCUUUUUAGGGUGCUCACACUACAUUUUCAGUAGUAAAUAAAUGCACCAAAAUAGUUUCUGAAUGAAAUCUUUAGGACCUGCAAUUAUUCUGCAGAUGUUUGUGCCUAUGCUUGUGUAGUCGGCAAGUUGGAGGAUCAGAUUGUGAAGUGAGAUGUUUUAGAAAUCAGAUUGAAAUUUGUAAAUCCAAACAGACUGAGUAUUGUAUAUUUCGAACGGUAGUUAUCCACCAGAGGUAUAAUUACGUUUACAUUAAAAUGUAGGCCAAGAAAUUCUACUUGAAAUGGCAUUACUUGAAUAAAUAUUUAAUAUUUCACACAGAUAGAGAUACUGAUCUAUACCUAGCUCCCUGGAACCUCGUCACAACGUAUGCCACUCUGCUUAAGGGUGCUGUCUAGGUGGAGCUGCUUUGCCCAAAGGUUUAGCAUAUGCCUGUGAAGAGCUUCUCCUAUUCUAUCUGAUUUUUUUUUUUUUUAGUUCCAGAAUUCAUGAAGAGUAAUCUUGAAAAUUUAUUUUAGAUCCUGCUGCAAAAACAGAAAAUAAGCUCCAAUUCUAGGGACCACAUGUGACAGAACUAGUAAAAGAAAGUUUAAUUAUGAAUAUGGGAGAGCUGACCAUUAAAAAAUAUUUUUUGGACAGUAAAAUUGUCUAGUAGGCAAAAUAAUUUUUGAACAGAAUCUUAAAAUAGACAGAUGUGUAUUAUAUCAUUGUUUGGGUUAUCACUGGGUCAUGGGAAGAUUGCACACCUGUUGGUAUCUGUUGCACGUACCACUGUAGCCCUUGACAAUUAUGCAGAAUAACUCCAGCCAGACAGUACCUUUAAAGGUUUUUCUUUUCAAAUUAUUGUAAAAAGUUGUGCAUCUGCUAACAGCUGUUAACUGUUUGAUUUAUGCAAGUUCUCUCAUUAAAACUUUAUUGGUGUACUUUGAAGGGAGAGUGUACGACAUCUAGAAUGAGUGUCAUUAGUGAGAAUAAUAAUGCAUCUAGACAGAGAAAUCCAUUAAUUUCUUUUGCUGUGAUUUUCCAGCUAUACUGAAAAUCUAAAUACAUAAACUAAAGUAAAAAGUGGUUUUUAUACAUAAAAGUGUUGUAUGUAUAUUGUGAAAAAGUAACAUGUAUAAAAUUCUUUUUAAUGUAUUGUUGUAAUUUCAAGAUGAAUAAAAUUUCUUGGUUUUUAA